GGAUGGGUGGCCGAGUGGUUUAAGGCAGCGGUCUUGAAAUUCGGUUGCGGGCGUCCGCGCCCGUCCA
rnacentral:tRNA from 1 species